GAGAGGGGGUAGUGUUUUAUAAACAGAGAGAGAAAAGCAGGUGUAGCAGGAGAGAGGGGGUAGUGUUUUAUAAACAGAGAGAGGGAGAGAGAAAAGCAGGUGUAGCAGGAGAGAGGGGGUAGUGUUUUAUAAACAGAGAGAGGGAGAGAAAAGCAGGUGUAGCAGGAGAGAGGGGGUAGUGUUUUAUAAACAGAGAGAGGGAGAGAGAAAAGCAGGUGUAGCAGGAGAGAGGGGGUAGUGUUUUAUAAACAGAGAGAGGGAGAGAAAAGCAGGUGUAGCAGGAGAGAGGGGGUAGUGUUUUAUAAACAGAGAGAGGGAGAGAGAAAAGCAGGUGUAGCAGGAGAGAGGGGGUAGUGUUUUAUAAACAGAGAGAGAGAGAGAAAAGCUGGUGUAGCAGGAGAGAGGGGGUAGUGUUUUAUAAACAGAGAGAGAGAGAGAAAAGCAGGUGUAGCAGGAGAGAGGGGGGUAGUGUUUUAUAAACAGAGAGAGGGAGAGAGAAAAGCAGGUGUAGCAGGAGAAAGGGGGUAGUGUUUGAUAGAGAAGUAGAAACAGAGGACAGUGAGGAGAAGAGAACGUGAGGGUGUAGAGAUAAAAAGAGAGCAUAAUGAUAAACAGAGUGAAGGAGGGAGAGAAACUUAACAAGUGGAUGAAAAGUGGGUAGAGAGGACAAAACAUGAUUGGUUUAGAGCAAGAGUGGGCGUUUUGAGAGAGAGUAAGAGGGGAGAGCGAGGAUGGAUAAACUCCCAUAUCUAUUGGGUGAAAUACCACAGUAGCAAGAUUUGUGACCUGUUGCCACAAGAAAAGGGCAACCAGUGAAGAACAAACACCAUUGUCAAUACAACCCAUAUUUAUUUAUUUUCCACAGAGUGAAAGACUUGACACAAAGCUCCAUUGUAUCAUAGCAACUCAAAACCUCAGGAUAGUCG